GUAGUCACAUCAAACGGCUUUAAAGAUUAACAGAUAAGCCAAUGGUGUAUGAUAUUGCAUAGUGGAUCGAGGAUCAUCGCGAUUACCCGCGAAAUCCAGUCACGAUUCAUACAUAACAUUUUUUUUCACUAUUAUAUAUUUUUUUUUUUGUUAUGUUAUGUACAUCACACACUCACGAAUAUAAUAAUGAGGUGUAAUGAAGAUAACCUGACAGUAAAUAACUGUUAGUUAUGAAGCAGAUCGAUAGUCUGGUGUGUUAAACCCCGAGCGAAUUGCACAUGCUUUAUGACUAGACCUCCCGCGGGACCUAUAAACCAAUACUAACGCUCGUCUGGAAAGUCCAAGUUAUUACUAAAAUAUUGCAUUAAUUAAAUUAAAAAUAAGAAGAAAUGAAAAUUGAGCUUAUGGAUUGUGAAGAAAAUAAAAUUGCGUACGGUACCUGUCGGAAUCGACCCAUCUUCUUGGACGCUCUUCCCCGAACUGUCUCUUCUCGGCUGAGCACUUUCGUCGAGUGUUACGAGGAUUCUGAAGACGCAAUUUGGCCAACGACGCACGCACGGAAAAAAUAUAUAAAAACGAAGACGGAGGAUGAGAAAGAGA